rnacentral:rRNA from 1 species
ACGAACGCUGGCGGCGUGCCUAACACAUGCAAGUCGAGCGGAGAUAUUGGAAGAGCUUGCUCAGAAGAUAUUCAGCGGCGGACGGGUGAGUAACGCGUGAGCAACCUGCCUUCAACAGGGGGAUAACGCAUCGAAAGAUGUGCUAAUACCGCGUAAGACCACGAGGUCACAUGGCCAUGAGGUCAAAGGAGCAAUCCGGUUGAAGAUGGGCUCGCGUCCGAUUAGCUAGUUGGUGUGAUAACAGCGCACCAAGGCGACGAUCGGUAGCCGACCUGAGAGGGUGAUCGGCCACAUUGGAACUGAGAAACGGUCCAGACUCCUACGGGAGGCAGCAGUGGGGAAUAUUGGGCAAUGGGCGAAAAAGCCUGACCCAGCAACGCCGCGUGAGGGAAGAAGGGUUUUGGCUCGUAAACCUCUGUCCUGAAGGGCGAAGGAGUGACGGUACUUCAGGAGGAAGCCCCGGCUAACUACGUGCCAGCCGCAGC